rnacentral:misc_RNA from 1 species
CUGAUCUACAAUGAAUGUCGUAAGAAAUUUAACCAAUCAUGUUCGCUUUUCUUCUCUCUUUCUUCUCUAAGAUCAACUAUGAUUGGCUAGAUUUCUUACGACGCGACUUACAACAUCUAUUGUAGACCAGGCCUACCGCCGAGUCCGUCGACUGCUUGCGACUUGCGACUUGCGACUGGUCCGACUCGUUUCCCCGCACGACCCCGUCCAUGCCGUCCAUGGGCGACGCACGCUCUCUUGCGCAUAAUAUGAAUCAGUUCUUCUGGCGCACCGUUACGAGGUGUGGAGUGGAGUCGUCGCUCCCGUCGCCGUCGCCGCUGCCGCCACCGCCGCGCCGCCGCCGCCGCCGCCGCCGCUGCUGCUGCCGCCGCUGCUGCUGCUGUCGCUCGUCGUCGUCACGCGAGUGUGAACGCUCGUCAUUUGGUCAUUAGUUAAUAACAGCAUUCCACUGAAGCGCCGUCCGUUCUGUGCCUGUUCGAACGCGUAGUAUAUGUCGUAGCGAGGUAAAGAGGAUUCCGCUGAUCUCACGACGGACGCGGUGUACCGCGAAUUACGCGGUGAGCCGCGACACGCGUUUCCCUGUGCGCGCGUGACGAGUAAUGAUCGAGUGAACAAGCGUGCGGUGUACACGGGGGGACGCUCCUGCCGACGACAACCGCGGCGACAACGCAUUCGCAGGCCAUGGAAAGCCUAUGAGGGCGGCACAUCGCCGGGAAUCGGGAGGGGGGUGCCCCCCGUCGACAAGGGGUGGUUGACGCCACGCGCUACGCGAAAGGGACGAGGACGACGACGCAAGAAGCGCGUGCAGUUAGAGGCUGUAGGGUAGCGGCGGGAAAGGGCUUGGCCUGGCCACCACCACCGGGAGCAGCGAGAGGCGGACGUCGACGGCUACGCUCGCCGACGACGCGCGCACACCCGCACGCCUCUUUCACCGUCCCGACCGGCUUUUACGACCGCCAUGUUAUCCUGGAGCGGCUACGCUACAUCGUUGGCACCGCUGCUCGUGUGCCUCCUCGUGCUUCGCGCGGCCGGCGUUGAUGAAUCUGAUAUAGAUAAACCAGGAGCAGCAACGGAGUCGAAGUCCGAGCGGACCGCGUUGUUAGAAAUUCGAUCGUCGCAGGAUAUCGAGGGUAUAGAGGCAGACAGCACGCCGUCAUUAUUAUGCAAGCUCAACGUGCCGGGUCAGGUCUGGUGGAGCACCAACAGCAGGAAUCUCACGACCAUCAAGGAUUUUGAGCACGGUGGACGACUCGACAUAAAGAAGGCCAGCAGAAACGACACAGGCGACUACAAGUGUUCCGCGCAGACUGCCCAUGGCGAAUUUCUCGAGAAAAACAUUCAUAUCAGAGUGAUAGAACCUGGUAAAGUGGCAUCAGGCGGCGACGUGAAGGCAAGAGUGUCGGAGACAGCCAACUUGACGUGCCACAUACAUGGUUAUCCAUUAUCUCAAUUUACUUGGUUAAAAGGAAAUGAUUCGAACAGCAACGAACACUUAAAAGAUCUCACUGUUGUCGCGCAAAUAAACGAGACUUAUUCCGUCUUGAUCCUGGAAUUCAAGAGUCUGACGCGCAAAGACAAUGGUACGUACGUGUGCCAGGCGAGCGACUAUAAUGGGAUAGUGAAUGCCCUGACGCAUUUAUUCGUCACCGACGUGCCGAAAGUCAGCAUAGAUUUCAUGAAAGCGGUUGGAGCCGGCAGUAUAUUUCUAAAUUGGACUGUUAACGACGGUAACGAACCGAUCAAGAAAUAUUUCAUUCAGCAUAUGAAGAACGGUACGGAUCAACGCCAGUACUAUGCCGAGCAAAUUGGCGGUGGUAACUCAAGUUAUGUUCUCAAGGGAUUCGAGAGUGGCACCGCGUAUCAAAUCGGUAUCAGCGCUAUCAACGCGGUAGGCACAUCGCACAUGCAGUUAGAUCCACGUUGGAUCACUACACUUGAAAAAGAUCCGGUAUUUGUGCCGAAAGUGUCCGUGAAUGGUGUGACGGAGAAUUCCAUCACGAUAGGUUGGACAGUGCCGCCGUUGGAUUUGAAGGAACAUGUGCACUAUUACAAUUUGAUGGCUACUCACGACGAUCAAAAAAGAGAGGCAGUGUAUCCCGCUCAGCCGUUUACUGUGUAUGCGUUUGUGGAUCUCGAUCCAGCCACCACGUACAAAUUUAAAAUAGCCGCCUGUAGCGAGUACACGAAAUUGUGCGGCAAUUGGAGUGCCGAGGUAAACGGCACAACUCUGGACGGAGUGGCAAGUCCUCCAAAGAAUCUCAUCGUUAUCUGUCGUUAUAACAAUAUAAGCAGCUUUAGUUUCAUGUCUAUCACGUGGACGCCCCCAGAUAAACCGAAUGGCAUUAUACAGCGUUAUAAUAUACAACUAAAUGGUGUAGCGAGAUUUAAAAAUGAUAUGGGACGUUUGGACAUCCACAGUUUUGAACCGCCAAGUUGGAGCGUCUAUAAGAGGAAUACCACGCAUUACAAUAAGUUACCUCCCAAUACGAAUUAUACGGUUCGAGUGCACGGAGUGACGAGGUCUCGCACUCCUGGCAAAGACGCUGUAGGAAAUUGCACGACGCCAGUCGCGGUUCCGGAUCGCGACAACAUGAACAUGCGCAGCUGGCGCAAGAUCGAGAGUCAAGGUAGACAGUUGUUCAAACUUUAUUUACCGCGCAUUUCCGAGCGAAACGGUCCGAUUUGCUGCUACCGCGUUUACUUGGUAAAACUGCCGCCGCACAAAACGGUCAGCGAUCUGCCGCCACCUGAAGAAAUUCCAGUAUACUCCUACCAAUACGCACACAGCUCAACUAACGGUGGUGCCUACGUUGCCGAAACAUUCGACAGCGAUCAGUUGUCAACCGAGAUCUUCCUUGGUGACGGCGAGUCGUUUAACGGCGGUGCCAUGUGUGACAAAUGUAUCGGUCUGCGACCUAAACCGGCGCCGCCGUUGCUGCACUUUGUACCGGAAAUCCCGUCAACAACCACUUCGACCUCCGGUAACAAGAGUAGUACCGUUAUCAGUAUGACAAUGACUACAUCGGUGCCGACUGUGACAACUGCGAACAAUAGUGAUAGCAGCAUAGCUAUUAGCUUGUUUACUGCAUCGACAAUGAACACCGCUAGCACCGCGGAAAUUGAUGACACGACUACAGCUGUACCUGUGAUUAUUAAUGCCACGGAAAAGUUGGAGAGACGGAAGAGAGAUGAUGCGUCUCUGCAAAAGGCUUCUAUAGAUGGAUCCGGGGAGUUUGGCGUGUUAUCACCUUACGAUGGUUUUCUCGACGGAACAUCGAACUACACUGGUUUCAUUGAAGUUAUCGUGUUUGGUGAGAAAGAUCAGCUACCGGCUUACAGCAGUUACUUCAGUCCUCUCUAUGGCGGAGUAGAUCCUCUCACUGUAACGGCUACAGAGGCGAUUACUAUCAGAGAAAUGAUAAUACAGCUCUUUAUUGCUCUGAUUUUAACGCUCACAAUUCUAUUUAUUGCGCUUUGUGUGUUGUAUAGAUUUACGAAACGUGCGCAAGAUAGGGAAGAAGUUAUAACACUGCGCAAUAGUUUUAGACAUCUCUGUAGGAGUUUGAGAGGCAGGCAUCAGCUUGUAGCGGCAAGUCCACCGGAUAUGCCGCCCAUACCCAAAGGUGAACUACUACAGGCUUACUUGGAACGUCAUCGAGAUUCAGACUAUGGUUUUCAACACGAGUUUGAGUUGCUACCCGACCGAUUCGCGGACAGAACGACGCGUGCGUCCGAGGCGCAGGAGAAUCUUUACAAAAAUCGCUAUCCAGAUAUCAAAUGUUACGAUCAGACGAGAGUGCGUUUGGCUCAGAUAGACGGUAUUUGUGGCUCCGAUUACAUCAAUGCUAACUUUGUGCUAGGUUACAAGGAGCGCAAGAAGUUUAUCUGUGCUCAGGGACCAAUGGAGAACACUGUGUGUGACUAUUGGCGCAUGAUCUGGGAACAGCAUCUCGAGUUAAUUCUUAUGCUAACGAAUCUCGAGGAAUACUCCAAGACCAAAUGCGCUAAAUACUGGCCGGAUAAGCGCGAGACUAAGAACUUUGGCGACAUUACGGUGGAGCACGUGAAGGAGCGCGCUUACUCGGACUACGUAGUGCGCGAGCUGAAGAUGACACGGUUGGGCGAGCGUGAUACUCGCACAAUCGUGCAAUACCACUUCCUUGUAUGGAAGGACUUCGUCGCUCCUGAGCAUCCACAUGCGAUUCUGCGUUUCAUCAAACGCGUUAACGAAGCGUACUCGCUCGAAAAAGGACCGAUCUUGGUGCACUGCAGCGCCGGUGUAGGUCGCACUGGCACACUCGUCGCGUUGGACUCGCUGCUGCAACAGCUAGCCGAUGAGGGUCAAGUGUCCAUCUUCAACACUGUGUGCGACCUGCGGCACAUGCGUAAUUUUCUUGUGCAAUCGCUCAAACAAUAUAUUUUCAUCUAUCGCGCGCUUAUGGAGAUGGCACAGUACGGUGAUACGGAGAUCUCGGCGUCGCAGCUUAAAUCUAUGAUUGCCAAACUGAGACAGAGGGAUAAUGGAAAGGAGAAAUGUAGAAUGGAGGAAGAGUACGAUAAAAUCAGUUCCGUAUUGGAAGAUCGGAAAUCCUUUUCUGUUGGUGGCGGAGAGGAAAAUAGAUCGAAGAAUAGAAGCGAAUUGGUGAUACCGUAUGAUAGAAAUCGCGUAAUACUCACUCCGGUUCCGGGAAAAGAACACUCAACAUACAUAAACGCAUCGUUCAUCGAAGGCUACGAUAAUUCUGAGUCAUUUGUCAUUACCCAGGAUCCAUUAGAAAUCACUGUACCAGAUUUUUGGCGAAUGAUUUCGGAACAAUGUAUUUCUACAAUAGUUAUGUUAUCUGACUUGAACGAAGGCCCGCGAAAGUGUCCACGCUACUGGCCCGACGAUGAGACUGAUUACGAUCACAUAAGGGUCCGUUACAUCCAUAGCGAGAGUUGUCCGUACUACACACGUCGUGAGUUUUGCAUUUUGAAUACGAAGACUGAUGAGAGCGGAGUCGUGAAGCAGUAUCAGUAUCACGGCUGGCCGACGGUGGAGGGUGAAGUACCUGAAGUGACGCGCGGUCUCAUCGAGUUAGUAGAUCAGACGUUGACGAACGACACCGAAACGAGCGGCUCGUUGGUUGUACAUUGCAGCUACGGAUCUGAUCGAAGUUCCAUGUUUGUAGCGCUUAGCAUACUGGUUCAACAGCUACGCACUGAGAAGCGCGUAGAUAUUUUCACAACGACCAAAAAGUUGCGCUCUCAGCGACAUGGCAUGAUUAGCACUUUUGCACAAUAUGAAUUUCUUCAUCGUGCCAUUGUGAAUUAUUCGGAUCUUCACAAUUUGGCGGAUGACGAGACGCCAUCAUAAUGCUCGAAAUAAGAGUGAGACUAAAUUGUUUUAAAUUAAAUUGUUUGGGUGGAUAUGUGCAUGAAAAAGUUCCAUGAGUGUUCGAAGAUUGAAUAAAAAUUCGAACAAGCGUACAUUACUCCAACCAAAGAUGAACAAACAUCGAUAAAGAAUCAUGUCAUCAUCAUUACUAUCAUCAUCGUCAUCGAGAAGACAAGCAGAUCGCGAUACACAAUCGCGGAUUUAAAGACUUAUUUGUAUAUAAUAUGUCUGCAAAUAUUAUGUACUGACUAUAAGUUAAGUGUGAAAGAGAAUUGAUUGGCGAUCAACUUGAAAUUAAUUCAUCAUGGAUUUACAAUAUCGUGAGAACAUCGCAAAGUGCAGUGUGUGACGUUAUAAAAUCGUUACAUAGAACCUUAUUUUUAUUAAUAAUCUAAUGAUUCAGCCGCAGCGUAAUAUGUAUCUACAGUGACAAAAAAUUUUGAUAUUCAACAUUGAACAAAUAAGGAUAAGGAGGGUUUUGUUCGUAUCCUCCGUAUGGCUGUACAGCGAAAGACUAGCGCAGGAAGGAACGAAUGUACUUCUAUAGAGACAAACGGGAGAGGAAAUUGCUCCGAAGAAAUAGGUGAUGGAUCGUUUUUUGACAUGUGAGGUCCAGCGGAUCACCUGUAAUGACCAGGGAGGAUGAUGCGAGUUGUAUACCAUCUGCGACUGAGUUCGAUACAUGGAUAAUACGCUCGGUUAUUUGCAAAAUGGUAAUUUAAUAAAAUUUGAUACUGUGAAGUUUUUACUGGUGCGAGUGCGUGAAAGAUUGUGUGAAAGAUUAAAACGAUACAAGGCCUAUAGAGAUGUGAGAGGAAGAAUAAUAAAUAAAUUUGACUUUUAAUAAUUGCCCCGAUAUUCAUACAAUCUGUUUGAAAUAGUUUAUCAAUUCAGAAACAUAUUUAAUAUCGCCCCUACGAGCCAUUCGAUACUUGCGUGUAUAAUUUACUGUUUAAAAUUAUAAUCACCAACACAUACGAACUGCGUGUCAACAAAUUCCUUUUCUUAAAUCUUACAGAAAAAGAACAAAGAAAUUAUUUCUGAUUUUAAGUCAUUCAAACAGGCAAUAAAAAUCUUCCUUAAUGUGUUUUUCAACUCAUUGCAAUUAAAAAUUCCUUUCUAAAAAAGAAAAA